rnacentral:rRNA from 1 species
AGCAGUAGCCACGGUAAGACAGAGGAUGCAAGCGUUAUCCGGAAUGAUUGGGCGUAAAGCGCACGUAGGCGGCUUUGUAAGUUAGAGGUGAAAGCCUGGAGCUCAACUCCAGAAUUGCCUUUAAGACUGCAUCGCUUGAAUCCAGGAGAGGUGAGUGGAAUUCCGAGUGUAGAGGUGAAACUCGUAGAUAUUCGGAAGAACACCAGUGGCGAAGGCGGCUCACUGGACUGGUAUUGACGCUGAGGUGCGAAAGCGUGGGGAGCAAACAGGAUUAGAUACCCCCGUAGUCCCUGUCUCUUAUAC